ACACCUGUAGAAGACACAGAGUCACUCACCAGUGUCCAGACCUGACUCUGAGCCACUAAAGUAGGCCUUAGGUGACCAUUCAAUCUGAGCAUGAACAACUCCAGCUCUCUUCAUCUUGUCUCUCCAGACUACUGUCUACAGAGGGGGUGAGCUCUACCUUAUUUCUACUCCUAUAGCAGGAAGGUUAUUGAGUCAUUAUUUUGUGUCUUGUUUCUUGUUGCUGUGGAUUUACCAGCAAAGAAUGCACCUUCUUUUUCCAUCCCUUCCAUUCCUGCAAAGAAGAGACUAGACAUUGUGUGACCAAUGAUCUGGGUUCUCCUAGCCCCUGACAGAGAAGUUAACAAAAAUCUUCAUAAUGGUGUCUGCAGCAAUGCUUGACCUAGAGGAACCAGUAGAGACUCCCAGCAGAGGUAUCAUCCUAAAAUGGACCACACGGGCCGGACAGAGAUUAGUGAUCACCAGAGGGAGUGAGCCUGUUGCCCUUCUCCUGGUCCGUCUUUUCCUGGGCCCUGAGUUCUAAUAGAACCCAAGAGAGAGGGAGAUACAAAGAAGGCAAUCAUGUGAAACUUCUCGCUGACCUCAGUGACUAGGAGCUUGAAUCAGAUGCAAUUUGACUUCAAAAAAUAAAGAAAAAUGAUCUUCUCUUCUGAGUGCCGAAGGACAGUGUCUUGGAGGUCUUGCCACAAAUGUUGCAGCCACUCUGAACUUCCAAUGUUCUGGAACGUGCACAUCUUUUUGUCAUUGUAGAAUGCUACUCCUUCUCCAGCUGAAGAAAUGUAAUCUCUCAAGAUCCUGACCAUAUGACUUCUCUGUUGUAGAGUCUUUGCUCAAUUUUGGGGGCAGAGCCAAUUUCUCCCUCUGGUCCCCAAGCUCUUGAUAUCGCAACUUCCUGCUUACCUGUCAGCCUCCUUCCCUCACUUCGUGUUCCUAGAUGGAAAGAACUCCUGUCUCCUUCAUUUCUCAACCCUAGCACUAACACAGGCCUGGUACAUACAGGUACUUAGUAAGUACUUGUUGAAUCAAUAUAUGGGUGAUGAUACUUAAUCACUCAAUCACUGUAUGAUUGAUGCUUAAUAAAUGUGGGAUGAAUCCGAAAUACCUGGCCAGAGCUGAUGAAUGAGGCUUCUGAGGGAAAAUAAUCAUUAUUUCUUGGUGGAUAGCAGUGAUCACCUGUCAGAUACUGUCAACCAGAUAAUUUGGUAAAUAAUAUUCACACUUAUAACCUGUAUCCAUCAAGGAUAGGUCUGCAUCUAAGAUAAGGUCAACUUUGUUUUUCCUUUUCUUUUUUUUUUUUUUUUUUUGAGUAUAGUGAGCAUACAGCGUUGUAUUAGGUUCAGGUGUACAAUACAAUGAUUGGAAAAUUCUAUACAUUUCUCAUUGUUCAUCAAGAUAAGUGUUCUAUAAGGUCAGCUUUGGAUUUCACUAAGUUACUCUGUGUGUGUGUCAGGAAGAGAAUGCCUUCUGUUCCACCCGUCUGUUUCACAACAGUUGGUCCCUACAGACUGUCAGAGUUGGAAGGCAACUGAUCGCCUUUUCACUCUCUGAACUUGUCUUGCCUUCAGUAUAUAAUUUAUGGCCAGUGGAAAAGACACAAGCGUUCGCACUGAGGGUCCACCAUGUACCAGCCACUGGAGUGUGUAUGUGGGUAGGUAGUAUAGUGUGGUGGUUAUGAGCAGAGGGUUUGGAACCAGACUGCUUGGGUUCAAAUCCUGGCUCUGUUUCAUGCUAGCUGCGUGACCUUGGGUACAUCACUCAAUCUCAUUGUGUUUCAGUUUCCUCCUCUCAAAUGGGGAUUAAAAUAGUACCUCUUUCAUGAGGUUCCCGAGGAGAUUAAAGUGAUUACAUACAAAGUGCUUAGGAACAUGCCUGGCACAUAAUCAUGUCAUCAGCUCAGCUCUUACUAAACAAAUUAUAUUCAGCAGGAUCUUUAGAAUAACCCUGUGUUACAGUGGUUAUUGUCUCCAAUUCCAAAUGGGGAAACCGAGACCAAAGGCUGUCCCUUGUCCAAGGCCACACGGCUGGUACUGAAGAGAAAAGGAUCUGUCUGACCUCCACUGAAGCUUAGGCAAGAGAGGAAGCCAUGGAAGGCCUCAGGCUGUGCGCCUUCAUUUCCAUGACCCGUACAUUCUGGGGCUCGUGCUGAUUUCGAAUUCACUUUGCUGAGAUUUGCAAUGAAAGCCUAUGAAUACUGUGAACAUGUUACUGACAACACAGAGAGUCAGGGUAAUUAUUCUUUUGCAACCGGAACGGAGGCUAUUACUUGGCAUAUUUCAGCAACACAACACAGAACAUGAUUUGUAACAAAGCUCUUUUAUUACAAGACCUGUUUCUCAAAGAGUCGCUUCACCAUUUCGCUUUAGAGUGGGUGCCUCUGCUGUGGUUCUGAUCACAAGGGUGGCAGCUGUACCUCCUAUGCCCUCUAAGCGCACGGUAAGAGGAACGGUGUGAACUCACUGUUGGACUCUUGAAUCCACUCCUGUUUUCCUUUUCUUUGACCACAGCCCUUGUCUAGACCACUGUCAUGUCUCACUUGAACUCUGGAACAGCCUCCAAACAACCGAUCUCCCUCCUGCCUUCCUCCUCCAGCCUCUUCGCCUCCCUGCGGCCAGAGUGAUCCUUUUAAAGUGUAGGGUGGAUCACAUCCCCUGCACCACACAUUUCCCAGCACGGCCCCUGAGGCCGUGAGGCCUCCUGGGGCCCAGCCCUGCCCUGCCCUGCCUGUCCCUCCAGCCUAGUGCUGGCUCCCCCAUAUGCUCUAUGCCACAGCCACGCUGACAUGUUCUACAUCUCCCAGCAUGCAUGUUUGUCCUCCCAUCUCUGGAUUUCUGCACAUACAAUUAUAUACCCCACCCCUGCCAAAGCUCUCCUUUAGACACGUGCUAAAUGGUGCCUGGACAGAUCAUGGGUUUCCAGCAGAGUUGGAGUGGCUGGGCCAGUGGGAGGACAUAGUGUUUGAAAGCACAGGUUUGGAGCCAGCGAGAACUAAAUUCAAACAUUUUGCCUCUGCCACCUGCUGCAAUUCCACCUUGGGCAGGUCACUUCUCCCAAGCCUCAAUUUCGCCCAGGAGAAGAGGGGGAUGUGCAGAUUCAUCAUGUUCAACCCUGGUGCUUCAGUCUGAGCACCGCAUGGAUGGCAGUCAAGGAGGUAGGGGCAGGAGAUCUGGGCUCAUUCUGUCCCCACUGCAUGCCUGCUGAUGGGUGACUGUGGGCCACUUAACCUCUCGUCUAUGAAACACACAUAAUAGGUUGUUCCUACACAGGGCUGUGGGCUCAGGAAGCCCUGCAGUAAGCCCUCAACGUGCACACAUUAUUAUUUUAUAAUAACCUUAUCAUCGCUGCUAUUUGGCUCUUCCUGAACAUCCACCUUCGGGGGAAAAAAUGACUGCAGAGGACUCCCACGUCUGGCUAAAGCCCAACAGAGAAGAGAUAGGCUGACUUCCAGAGUGCCUGGCCCAGUGCAGUAGGGUGAAUCAGGCUCCUCCUUAGAGAGUAGGAGCACUUGUUAAUCUAGAAGUCACUCCCACUCUCCUACCUUCUCUGCAAAGGAAUUCAUCUAUACAGGGGGUGACAGCAUCUGUCUUGAGUGCAGCCUGUGGGUUCCUAGCAGUCUCUGGGCAUUGGAGCAGAAGAUGUGGAUUUGGCAUGUUUACCCUGAUGCUUCUGGACCCUGCCCAAUGACCAUGAAAUACACAAGAGGAAGCCCAUGAUCUCUGAUCCCCAGGUGGUAAGUGGCUCUGCUGACCAAUGACUUGACACAGAGAGACUCUCAAAGGUCUGACCCACAGCUGAUCUUGGAGACCCUCUCAUGGAGGGUAGACAAAGGAUAGGAAGGAAAAUCACUGGCAUUUGGACCUUCUGGAAAAUGAUAUCAUAAAACUUCCAUGGAAGCUUGGUGUGGGGGAAGGCAGGGGUGAGGAAAUGAGGAAGGGGAGCUGCAUCUGGGACAUGUCACAGCUGGUGUGAGGUAGAAAGACCCAAACCAGAUAGAAACUACAGACAGGAAUGAUUGUGCCAGAGAAGCAGGGCCACUGGAUGGAUGGUAAAGGUGUGGGACACAGUGAUGGCUUAGCCUUGCAAGUUCCAUGGGGUGAGGGUGCCAAGAGGAGAGAGGGCAGGAGAGGUGGGUACCAAAGACAUGGCUGAGAAGUGAAGGUCAAGGGUCAGUAACCAAGAAGGCAGAUGAGGUCACAGGGCACAGGAAGCAACUACAAGAUGGAGAGCUUGGUUUUUACAUGGGGUGCAUGUGACCCCAACUUGUUAUCACAAGUGAGACACGUGCUCAGUCCCACAGCUUCUGGGGAUACUUGACACAUGUCGCCCUGGAUGUAGGCUAGAUCUUGUGGCUUCUGGAUGGGCCCUGGGAAAUAUAGUUCUUGACCACACCAAGUUUCUUCCUGUCUCUGUGCCCUCGCACCUGCUACUCCAUCUUUCUGGGAUAAACCCUCCCCCCCCCCCACUGUUACCCAGCUCAAAUAUUACCUUCUUUGACCUGCCCAUUAGAUCCCCUCAGAAUACUUACAGUGCCCCACCCUUUUUCUUGGGAACACUUAUUCAUAAUACUUCCACUUAUGUGUUUAUUCAAGUCUGUCCCCUGCUCCCUGCUAGACUAUAAGCUCCAGGAAGACAAGGAUCAUGUUGUAUUCACCAGCACCAGGCAUAUGGUAUACAUUCAAUAACAUAAACUGUUAUUUCAGUGAGUGAUUCCAGCAAUCUCCGAGUCCUGGGCUUUCACUAACUAUGGAGAAGUGGUUUUAACUCGCUCAGCUGGAUCCCCUAAUAAAGGCCAUAAACAUAAAAUGUGGCCAGAUUUGACUGAACACAAUGACUUCCUUCAGACCCAAGCAGUUUUUCAGCGACGCUCUGACAUUUAAGUGCACACUGCUGUAACUGAAGAGAGUCACUUUGGCUGCAGAGCGUAAAUGAACGUUGUAAAACCUGGCAAGGCAUCAAAUGAGUGUGGUGGAAAGCAGGCGGCUUCAUCUUGUGGAACGACGAACUAGUGUGGAGAAAGCCCUCGGCCUGGCCAGUGUUUGCAAACACCCAGAGAGGAGAUGCUGGGCUUGCCCUCAGGUGGGACCAAGAACCGGAAGUAGAUGGUAAACAACAGUUAAGCAGCAUGAAGUCUCACUCACCACCAACCCUUCCCAGAGAGCCCUAAUCCUAUUAGUGUUUCCAGAAAGAUGGAGCAUCCACCUGGGAACCAUCUGGGAAGGCAGGUCUUGGGGCUGAUGGAAGAGCCCCAAGGUUUCCAUCCUGCCUCUGUUGCCCAUUAGCCUUUGACCUGAACCUGUCUUUGGGUGUCAGUUGCCUUUUUAUUGGGGAUAAUGAUACCCUGGCAGGUUUAAAAGAGAUGCUGUAUGAAAAGUUGCCACUAGCAAAGACAGGCAUGUAGUGGGUUCUUAGGGAAAGGUCAGGUUCCCUUUCCCCUUCCAGGCUGGGAGCUGCUGCUAAAAGGUCAGGGUCAAAGGAUUUGAGUUUAUGUUCUGUUUGUCACUUCUAUAAACAAGGCUGUUUCCCUCCCAGGCCUCAAGUUUCUCCUAGCUGCCAAAUGGAGGAACGGAACUCAGUGAUGUGAUAGAUCCCUUCUACUUGCAUUUUGUGAGUCUACGUUUUCUUGCCAGUACCUCAAAUGAUGCCCAGUAUUUUGAGACAUGACUGGCAGAGUCGUAAAUCCGAAGUUGUAAAAUAGAGAGACACUGGAGGGAGGCGACAGGAUACAGCUUGACCAUUUCUCCCACUCAGACUCAUGAUCACUCUGCAGUCUAUGUCAAGGAGAGCAAACAAUACUUCCAUGAUAAAUGCAUUUGCUUGUUAAUGUCCUUCUGCAGCACCGUGUUGAGGAUUCUGAGGCUCUGAAUCCUUCUGAGAAGGAUUCCCCGGGCUCAACGGAAAAGUGUGCCACAGUUUAUUAGUGAUGCUUCCUGGAGGCAAGGGAUUGGGGGUGGUGGCAUCUCCGCCUUGUACUCCACAGACCUAGACCACAGGACCCCAAAUCCUGUCCAGCUUUUAUCUCCACAUGACUUUUAAUGAGCUCUUUGCUCUUGGCAAAAUGUUCCCCCUAUUCCUUUAGCAUAAAAAGCCUCCUUCCUGCUCUCCAUCCAUCCAAAGCCAGCCUGGCCCAGUUCCUCCAAACUCCUGAAACACAUGAUUUGUACCACUCCUGUGGUCCGUAUCUCUUGGCUCAUGUUGUUAAUUAUCUUUUUUAUGUGUAACUGUUUCUCCUAACUUGGCUGUGAAAUGCAGCGACCAGAGUAGAAAGCCAAACCAGGCAGGCUCGGGGAAGAAAGACAAGGAGGAUGGAGGUUGAGGCUGAGGCCUGAGAAUAGCUGGCAGAAGACGAGAAACUCAUUUCCAGGGUGGUUGUAGGGUCAGAAAUGCAGGCAAACCAAGACGCUGACCAGGGCUGUGCAGGGCCCCUAUUCCUCAGGCGUCUUUCCAUUCUGCACCCUGGGCACUUGGCUCACCUUGGCCCUAGGCCUGGUCCUGCAUGGGAGUAAGAAGGGAAGAGGGGUCAAGUCUGGGCAAAGCUGAGACAAACGCCAGAAGCCACCAGCAAACUGAGGUCAAGGGCGUGAGGCAGAAGAGGAGCCAGGAUGGGGACAAUGUAAAACAUGGAGCCAAACUCCCUCCAAAAUGUACCUCAUUCCCAUACUUGCAACUUUUAGUCUCCAGAGAAAAGGCCAUAUUCCUUAACAUGAUUUGCAAGACCUCUGAGACCUGGUCCUUUCUGUUUGCUGCAGCUUCAUGUUUCAUGCUCUGCUCUCCUGUUACAUCAACUUCUCUUAGUUCCUAGGAUAGACCUAGGAUUCCUAGUCUCGGAUUCCUGCCCUGCACCCCAUACCAUUCCCUUUACUGGAAUUUUCCUCCCCUCCCCCUGCCCGCAGCAAUACAUUUAUUUGCCUAGUGAUUCCUACCUACAUUUCCUGGCUGUCCUAAAUUUGCUUAAAUACCUCUGCUACUCAUUGCCGUAUUACCUAUACUUCCUCUUGCACAGCACUUACAAUAACUGUGUGCAAAUGUACAGUUUAAAGACACAUAAUAUAAGGAAAAUCUAUUUACCUAGCACCCUGCUUACAAAACAGUACAUUAGCAGUAACUCAGAAAACUCUGUGUGCUCUUCCUUCCUCCCAAAGGUAACCCAUUAUCCUGAAUUUUGUUAAUUUCCUUGCCAUCAACCUAAACUAUCUAUAUUUGGUUUUAUCUGUUUUUGAAUGCUACAUAAAUGAAAGCAUAUCGUCUGCAUUCUGCAACCUGCUUCUUGCUUCAUUUAUUUUCAUCACCAUGGUGUUCCACUGUAUAAAUAUACAGCAGUUUACUUAUGCAUUCUCUUGUUGGUCGACAGUCUGGUUGUUUCCAGUAUAAUGAGGAGCGCUCCUUGGAACAUUCUUAUGCACGUCUCUUGGUGCCCAAGAGCAGGCGCCUCUCCACGUAUUUACACUGCGGUGGAAUUUCUGAGGCACAGGUUAUAUACACAUUCGACUUUCCCAGGAAGGUGAAAAUCUUCCAGAGCGAGUACACCAAGCUCUGCUCCCACAGCGCAGAUGAGCACUCCUGUUGCUUUGCAAUCUCGCCACCAUUUGGUUCUGUCCAACGUUUUAAUUCUUGCCGAUGGGUGUGGAAUUCGCUCUCACUGGAGCUUCAGUUUGUAACUCCUUGACUUUCAGUGAGCUGGAGCUCUUCCUGUUUACAGAUCUGCACUACCAGACUGUGAGAGAAGACCCAAGGCCACCUAGCUCUCAUGAGGGAAUCCCUUGGGCCUCCACGAUAGGUGCUUGAUAAAUCGUUCCUGCAUGAACGCAGGAUCAAGAACCUGGCCUGACUUCUGAAUUAUCCCCAGUGCACUUUACUUGGUGCUCUUCCAGGAUCACAAGGGUUGAUAUUGCAUUAUUUUAGAGUGUAAGAAAACAUUUUUAAAGUCCAUGCUUAUUCUUCCACUGGACCCCAUGGAAAAACACUCCCUGGGGAUACAGUUUCCCCAAGCCCUCUUCUUGUCAAAACACUGCCACAGAGUCUUCUGGACAGAAUUGAUGCUUGGGGAAAAAAAAAUGAUGCUUUUUCUUGGAAGGUGUCCCUGAAGGGGUCUGAUUUUGGGUCAACCCUAAGAAGCACUUGAAGCACUUUCCCUGUGUGAAAGGGAGUCUUCAUAACUAUCAGAAAGCAGCAGGAGGAUCCAUCUGGCAGAAUUCCAAAAAGAGACCAGCUGGGCUGGAAUGUCUGGAAGCUUUUCAUGAAGAAAAAGUUAAAAGGCUGUUUUGCAGGGUCUUGAGAUUUGCUGAGAUAGCUGCUUCCCUACAGGAAACCCGGGGGCCGCAAUGGCCCCAAGCUCAGCAAACUAACCCAUCAUACACAGGGGACUCUGCUUUUCCUCAGACGCCACUGCUCUGUUAAGAUUGGGAGUUCACUUCCUCAUGGGAAAUUUCACGAGGAUUGCUUUGCAAAUUGAGAUCAGAAGGCAUCUUUUAAUGGUUCCAACCAAGUAGAGUUUAUUCAUGGUUACUUCAGGUCUCCUUCUAGCUAACAGGCCUGGUUAAUAUUGCCCACACUCAAGCUAAGUUGGAUUCAUGACAAAAUGGAAGGAGCCGGGCCUGAACAUACGGAGGCUGGCAAAGCUGAGACCGGAGUAGGGUGGUCUUCAAGGGUGUGGUAGACUCAUACUGCUCAUUAAUAUGUCUGUGCUCCUUUACAUCUCCCAUCCUCCCUUGCUGUCAGGAGGGACCAUGUGAAUAGCUGUGCCCAAUGAAAUAAAUAGUUGCCACUUCCUGGCCAAGGGCAGUAAGUAUCUCAUGUGGGAAGUCCAUGAACACGUCUACCUCCCUCCCUCCCAAUCUGCUGGAUGUUUAAAGCAGGGUGACCCUGAGGUUCAAAGAUGGGUAACCCCCCAAAGGAAGCUACCUGAGUCACCACGUAGAGAAUGGCUGCCCAGGACAGCCUCCCACCUCUCAGGAGACCGAUGUGAGCAGCAAACAAACUCGUCCUGGGUUAAGCCUCUGUGGUUUGGGGGCUACUGGUGCAGCUUUUGAUCACCUCCCUGAUGAAUACAAGCUGCCAAAGAGGCAAAGUGACCAGAGAGGCUCGGCUUCUGCAAUACCGAUAAUCAGGGGUUCCGUCUACUGAGUGGGACUUCGUAGCAGAAAGUCCCAGGCGUUGGGAGAGACUAUUCAGAAGGCAACAACUUCCCAACUGCAGGUGAUAAGGGCAUUCCGAACAUGACGCCACCAGAGGCCGAGGGUACAGACAGUAGGUCUAGUCCCAAGGAGUGGGAGAGGGAGCUAGCUACCACGGGCAGGCAGGGUGUCGGACCUUCGCAUAACAGGCUGUAGGUGAGAGUCUGCUUCAUGUUCAGAACAAGAACAGAGGUCAAAAAGCUAAGAAGCCAGCAGGGUGGAAAAGGAAAAGGUUGGGGUUUGGCGGUCACACACAGUCCAGAGUUCCUCAGACCGCUAGACAGCAGCCCUGUGGUGGCUCUGCUAAUUCUGGAGCCAGCCAGGUGAGUCUGGGGCCGGAGCUGCACCCCAGCCUUGGUCAGGCAACACCGUCUUGACAGGGCUGACCCUUACAGCUUCCCAGGCAUGGCAGACAAGCCAGGCUAAUUCCAAUCCAGGCAUUUCUAUAGAGCCCAAACUAUAGAACCCCCCCAAGCUCUGAGAAAGAAGUAUUGACUAAGUUCCAAAUCAGGGUCCCAUUGACACGUGUGCUGUCUACUCUAAUCAAGUCUUUGUUUUGAGCUAAGAUCUCUGGCCCCAUUACCAUCAUGGAUGCUUCCAGAGAAUAAUAAUAAGCUUGAAUGUCACGGGGACUCGGGGAGCAAUUUUCUGAAAUCCAAAUAAAACUCUUCUCAUUGCUAGUCUGAGAGUCAUUUUUAUCAGAUAACUUGGCCCAUCCAUUUACUCCAGAGUGCUCAGUGCCCUCUCUGGUGCGUUAAGUCCCUUUGAAUUGCUGUGAGCAUCUUCUCCUUGUGGACAUAUUCAGAAAAUCCCACUCUAUCCAGCUGCUAUUCAAAGCUGAGCCCCUGGACUAUGUUUAAUUUAUACUUUGCUAUAUGAAGAUGAGCCACUUACUCAUUUAAAGUGUUUCCUUUUUUAUGUCUUUAAUCAGUGGCUGUUUCUUUCCUCUCUGAGAAGCUUAAUCUAAUCAGAAACAAAUCCUACACAUAUGAAUGGCUCAUUAACAUGUCCCAAUCAAAUUCAAAUUGACUGUCCAUAUCAGAUGCCCCCUCAAAAGGGUGACACUGGCCCAAAGGACGACUCUUUGGACUAGUGUCUGAAGAAUAUAGCCCAUGGUAAGUUAGGGGGGGUCCUUUCUGAAAUGCAGGGCAACCAGGAACCACUGGAAGAAAGGAUACACUGUGUCAUCACUACCUCCCUAUCCCCAGCAUAUUGGUGGGCAUAUGACUCAGUGACAUAUGAGAUGGCAUAGGUGGGAAAGUUUGGCAGACCCUGGGCACAGACCUUAGAGGAAGCUAUGUGUCUGGCUCAAGCAUCACCCUCACAGUUGGCUCAGUGGGACCCUUGAGGAAUACUAUUCAGAUAAUAAAAAGGAAUCUGAGAUGCUGAACAUUCUCUUACUCAGAAAUGGUAUUUGUUCUAAGCAACCUUCCUCUUGCUCCAUUGGAAUUCAGAUUUAAAAAGCUGGUGUGCUGGGUCUUUGCUUAAAGAGAUUUGCCCUUUUCAUGCGAGUCAAAAUGAAUUGUCAGCUUGGGCAUCAUCUCUGAAAGGUACCUAUGGCAAACUCACAUUAAAAAUGGGAUUUACAAAGGAGAUCGGCAUUGCAGUAUAGAACUGAAGGAGCCCAUCAUUUCCCAGGCGAGCAAAGUGAGGCUCAAGGUCACGUGAUAACUUAGAAGCAGAUUAGGAAAUGUACCCAAGACCUAGGCCUUUUGAGAGACAGGAGGUCACUGUGGUUCAGAGGCCAGGCUCAGGGGUUAAACAGUGUUGGUGUCAAAUCCCACACUUCUCAUUUGCUGGACUGGCGACUUUAGGCAACUCAUUUCACCUUCUAACAUUCAAUUUCCUUGUCUGUGAAAUGGAGACAAAAAUGACACACUGAAAAAACAGUUGUUGUGACAAUCAAAUGAGCUAUGUCCCUCUGUGCUCGAGAUUUAUAUAUCCCGCUGCCUACAUGUUACCUCCACUUGUGUAUCUCUGAGGCGUCACAAGCUUGCCUUGUGCAAAACCAAGUUGUCGAUUUCCUUCCCUGCCUCCCCGUCAUCCCCUAGUCUUCCCCUCAUCCAACUAAUAGCCCAAGCCUAAAACCUACAUCAAUAAUGACGUAAUCCAUCUGUAAUCCCAUCCUCUUUCUCCCCUCCACGACCAAUAAUACACCAGCAGUCAGUUCUACCUCCUAAGUAUAGCUUAAGGUUAAUCACACCUCUCAAUCUGCAGAGUCAACAGCCUGGCCUAAGCCACUAUUAUCUUUGUGUAGACAACCCUAUCAACAGCCUCCUAAAGUCUCUUUCCUUCAAUCCUUGUUGCCCUGCAAUCCUUCUACAACUAUGAAUCAGAUCAUGUCCCUUCUCUGCUUUAGUUCAAUUCAACAAUCAUUUAUUGACUACCCACUCUGUGCCAGGCACUGUUGUACGAGAUGGGCAUUUUGUCACUGAAAAAUACAUACAAAAUCCCUGACUUUGUGGAACUUACAUUCUGUGUUUUUUUGCCAUAGCACUUGCUAGGGACAGAAUUGUGUCCCGCUCCACCAAAUUCAUAUCCUGAAGCCCUAACUCCCCCAUGUGACUAUAUUGGAAUAGAGCCUUUUAAGGAGGUGAUUAAGUUAAAUGAGGUCAUAAGGGUGGAACCCUGAUCAGACAGAACUGGUAUCCUUAUAAGAAGACAAAGAGACAUUAGAACACUCUCUGUACCAUGUAAGGACACAGUGAGAAGGUGGUCGUUUACAAGUCAGGAAGAGAAGUCUUACCAGAACCCGACCAUGCAGGAGUCCUGAUCUCAGACUCCUAGCUUCCAGAAUAGCGAAAAAAUAAAUUUGCAUUGUUGAAGCCACCUUGGUAUUCUGCUAUGGCAGCCCAAGUUGAUUAAUAGAAUAGCACUUCCUGAAAUUUGUAACUGUAUAUUUAUUCUGUGUUCUCUUUUAUCAGCUGUCUGUGCUAUUAUUAUGCCAUUAGCUCUAAGAGGGAAGGGGCUGUGCUUAUUUUCAAACACUGUAUGUCCAAUGUCAAACAUUGUAGGCCCAAUGACACCUACAACAGCCACCUAGUGAUGUGAAAGGAGAGAACUGCAUUAAAUGCACACAUCAAAGUUAUAAGUCGAGUGACCAUAUGUCCUGGUUUGCCCCUGAUAAUAUUGGUUUUUACCUGUUGUUCCAGUGUAACUGCUGGUAGUACUUUCAUUCUCAAAACUGUUCUGGUUGGGAUAAAUUGCAAUUUACUUAGAUAUUUAUUAUUUAUUUAUAUAUGCUAAGUUCAUAGGGCACGACUUGAUUUCAGAAAUGCUGAAAUCCAAGAAAAGCAACUCUCUUGAAAUCAUGAUUCAUGUUUUCUCUCCCCUACUUCAGGAUUUCUUUCCAUCGCUACAAUCCAGUGCAGAAAAUUACACAAGUCACUGAUGAGCAGCAUCCGAAGCAGAUUUAUGAAGAUCAGGUCUCAUCAAAAGAACACAACAGUGUCUGGAAGAGGAAGACAAAGAGGAGGGGGAGUGGGAGGAGGAGGAGGAGCCCCGGCUCACUUGCUAUCUGUCAUUCUGAGGGACGGAGUUUGGUCUCAGCUGAUGGUCCCUUCCUGGAAAAGUCGAGCUACAAUGUAAUGGUGGCAGCAAGGCUACCUUCCAGGGUCUGAUACAAAAUUGCACAGAGACUGGGCUAAAACAAAAACAAAAACAAAAACAAAACACAGAAAAGAACAGGUGGGGGGUUGGGGGGGCAGGAACGAAUGACUCUCCGGAGCUUUAACAUACAUUGCUGGCUCCCAGGGUUUUUUGUUUUUUUUUUCUCUUUUAUUUUUCUUUCUCCCCCAUACCAGGAAAUUAAACACUGAUACAUUACUAUUUAUCUAAUCCACAACCUAUAAUAAAAUUUCAUUAAUUAUCCCAAUAACGGCCUUUAUAGCUCUUUUCCUCCUUGGUCCCAACUUUUUAAGAAGGUAAAAAUUUCCUUCAGUUUAAAUCUCAAAACCCUUUAUCAAUUGCUACCUUUUCUAUGCAUCUUAUGAAUCUCACUCUUCUACGGCUCCCUCAUUGAACGCGAUUAAAAAAACGUAAGUGUGAAGUCCCUUCCAGAGUAAAAUUGUCCGUGGGCGUUCUCCCUUUCUUGCUCCCCACCAUUUCUAGCUAAUUGCUUCAUUAUGUACUUUUUUAAUUGCUUUGUUCUUUAGGGAUUAAUUUUGCACUUAUCGUUACUAACCGUAAAACUUUUACAAUGUACUGUUAAACUGCGUCUGUUCAGCGGCUGGUUUGUAAUUGCAGAGUCACUCAUGGCUGGUGUGCUAAAGAUAACGUGCUAUGGCAAAGACGCCUUCUUCUCUAUAUUUUCAGAUGCCGUCUGGCCACUGGGCAUGGCAGAGUCAGUGGUUCUGGGCUGCACGGUGUACUAAGCUUCCCUCAUGUAUGCACAUUGCAAGCAAGGGAGACCCCAAAUCCUGGGGUUUAGGCCUCAUAGGCCCCAGGUUGCUCAGACCUCAAGGGCCCUGGACAUUUCAGGCCCCAUGGGUUCCAGGAGGCCACACCUGGUGGCACACAUUCCAGCACAGCAGGGCUAGAUAUAGCCAACCACCUAGAAGGAAAUGAAAAUUUCAACCGCUCUCCUGAGGUCAAGUCCAUACUGUCCCAGGGCGCUGGCGCUUGGCUUCUGCCUACGUGCAAACACUAGGUUACCCUCUCCCUCCAUUCAUGGUCACAUAAAAUCUCUAGCCUCCCUGCCUCUUACCAGUUUCCAUACACUCCCUCCAUAGCCCUUUGGAGUCUGUCUCCUAUAGCCACCCUUGACUCCACCUGUCCCCUCAAAGGCCGCCUUCCAGCUGCAUCCAUAUGCCCUUUCUCUGCUCACAUUCUCUUAGUACAAGAUGGGGGCUUAGAGGCAUUGGCAUCAGACAGAACCAUGUUCAAAUCCAAGCUCCACCACCCUUUCCCUGUGGGACCUAGGCAGGUGACUCAACCGCUCUAAGCUUCUGUGUUCUCUUCUGUAAAAGGAGGAUAAUAAUUCUAGCCUCUCAUGGUUCUCAGGAGGCGUAAAUGACAGCACAAAAUUCACUAGAAUGGAGGUGCUAUGGUGGUAAGGCCUAGGCUAUCCUGCUCGUCUCUGUGUACCUAGCACUUAGCACAGCACAGUGUCUCGUAUUAAAUAAGUGUACGAAGCACAAAUGAAGUGUUCAAAAGACAGCAGCUAUUAUCAUUAGUAUUCCUUUUAGCUUAGCUAUGGCACUCCUGAAACACCGUCUUCCCCUGACAUCUCUUAUUUUCCACCAAUCCAGCUUUUCUCUAUCUGGCUGAUUCCUCUCUGUAACUAUGGGCACCACCCUGUCACCCACCCCCUACUCAAUGCCCGUGGUCAAUUCCAAAAUCUCGUUUCAGUUCAGACUUCAUCAUCACUGGGCUCCUCCAUCCUCUUGCCUUGAGUGGGCACACAGAGCGCACCUGAGCCCCAUCUCCCCUCCAAGCCUUCUGUUUUACACAGUGCUGGCUUCCUGUUGAAGUCAGGAUCCAGGCACUCCAUUUUCCUGUACCCUACCACCAAGCACACAACACAAAUGGCAUAAGAAAUGCUCACUGUAUGAAUGGAUAGACGCAUGAGUAACGCAAGCUUUUUGGUUGUUUCCUUUGUUAUUUACAAUAUCAAACAUGCCCCAUUUUCCCCUUUAAACCAAUUCUCUAUCCGAAAUGCCCCUUUCCUAGCAAAUGGUACCCCCAAAUCUCCCAUCAUCUUGGCUUCACGGCUCAAUGCCAUCUUUGUCAGACUUUUAAUAACUCAUUUAUAAAGAUCAGAAAAGGCUAGGUCUUGACCUCCAACUAUCACUCAAACUAUUAUUAGCAUCCAACACAGUGCUAAGGGAACAUGUGGACAGUGCCUCAGCUAAAGCUUUGAGUCACUGGGAAAAUUCCGUUAGGAAGUAUAAAAGCCUGCAAAGUGGAAACCUGUGUUUGGUGUCUUUUGAAGUCCUUGGCCUCAGAAGACUGCACGGAUGAAUUCUUAUUCCACUGACAACUGUCAGCCUCCUAAAGGCUUUACCCCGUGACAGUGGCUGAAGGACAAUGCCAAAGCAGAUUCCAAUUCAUGACAAAAUGAUAUAAAACAGUGGCAGGGCUCACUGCCUCACCCCAAGUGCAUGCGCGUGCACACGCGCGCGCGCACACACACACGUGCGCGUGGAUGUGUGA